CGAGUUCUUUCACACCUAUUCAUGCCUUAUUUACAACGUACCCCCUGUAUUUAACUGUGUUUUAGCAUGGCUACAGUUACACAUAAAGCUCUGAAUUAACAUAUGUAUGUAUUUCAGGGGAGGCAGCUGAGGGGAGGACGGCUCAUAAUAAUGGCCGGAGCGGAGCAAAUGGAAUGACAUCAAACACAUGGAAACCAUGGAAACCAUGUGUUUGAUGUAUUUGAUACCAUUCCACCUAUUCCACUCCAGCCAUUACCACGAGCCUGUCCACCCCAAUUAAGGUGCCACCAACCUCCUGUGAAGUAAUUACAUGGGGAUGAGAUGAAUAGAUGAUGGUGAGGUCAAACACAUGAACCAGAGGAAUGCAGCCAAACAGACCACCUAUUCUGAAUCAACAACCAGGACUCUUGUUGCAGUAUUUGUACCAGUUUCAAUCUGUCUUUCAAUCAGAAGUCAAGAUGUUGAUGAGAGACUCCCGGGUUGAGAGAUGAGAUGGAAAGAUCAGCUUCAAAUCAAUGUGCUCUGCAUCAGUAGAACCUACAGAUCUCAUCUUUCUUGACUUGGACAUCUGGACACCUGUGGACACCUGCUCGUCGAACAUCUCAUUCCAAAAUCAUGGUCAUUAAUAUGGAGGUAGUCCCCCCUUUGCUGCUAUAACAGCCUCCACUCUUCUGGGAAGAUAUUUUACUAUAUGCUUGAACACUGCUGUGGGACCUUGUUUCCAUUCAGCCACAAGACCUACCACACAACUGUACAGUUGAC
rnacentral:lncRNA from 13 species